AGCGUCUGGAAAGGCGCGCGAUACAGGGUGACAGCCCCGUACACAAAAGCGCAUGUGCUGUGAGCUCGAUGAGUAGGGCGGGACACGUGGUAUCCUGUCUGAAUAUGGGGGGACCAUCCUCCAAGGCUAAAUACUCCUGACUGACCGAUAGUGAACCAGUACCGUGAGGGAAAGGCGAAAAGAACCCCGGCGAGGGGAGUGAAAAAGAACCUGAAACCGUGUACGUACAAGCAGUGGGAGCCCCACCACUAAGCCAGUGGUGAACUCCACAUACGCAUCCUUUGCUGAGGAUACGGUUAACGGAGCGAAAGCGACGUUCAACCUCAAAAGAAGCAGAGGGGGCUUAGUGGUGGGGUGACUGCGUACCUUUUGUAUAAUGGGUCAGCGACUUAUAUUCUGUAGCAAGGUUAACCGWAUAGGGGAGCCGGAGGGAAACCGAGUCUUAACCGGGCGUUAAGUUGCAGGGUAUAGACCCGAAACCCGGUGAUCUAGCCAUGGGCAGGUUGAAGGUUGGGUAACACUAACUGGAGGACCGAACCGACUAAUGUUGAAAAAUUAGCGGAUGACCUGUGGCUGGGGGUGAAAGGCCAAUCAAACCGGGAGAUAGCUGGUUCUCCCCGAAAGCUAUUUAGGUAGCGCCUCGUGAAUUCAUCUCCGGGGGUAG
rnacentral:rRNA from 1 species